rnacentral:misc_RNA from 1 species
UUUCAAUGUAUUCUAUUUAUCACUUUAAUUUGAAUAUUUGUUUUCUUUUUUUAUUGGAGUUUUCUGUAUUUUAUUCUUUUGUUGAUAAUUAAAAAAUAGAUAAUUUUUUUCUUAAUUUUGUGAUUAUUAAAUCAUAAUCACAGAAAAAUAUAAAAUUAAUUACAAUAACAAAAAAUUACUAUUAAAUGUCUUAUCAACUUACUUUGCCUCUAAACGAGGUAGGCUGAUCUACCAGGAGCUGGCUAUUUAAAAUUUUACAUUAACUAUGAAGUGUGGAUAGAUGUGGCUGUAUAAAAGUAAAAAUUUUAUUAAAAUUAUUAUAAUUUUAAUUGUGAUUCAUCUCUAUCAUUUCUUACAAAAAAAUAAAUAAAUACUAAUGUUACCCAUCUAUGAAUACCAUUACCCAACCCAUCUCAAAUUUCAAUUUGGUCCAACCGCCACAAAACUAUUUCCACCGCUGCUUAAAUUGGCAAGGUUGAGGAAUACAUAUGGCAUCACCUCAGGCAUUGGUUGCCGGCCACCGAUUUUUUCAUUUUUUAAUUAUAAAGUUUGGAAAAUGGGAAUGACCAGGUAAAAUGACUAAUAUUAGAAUUGCAAUUAGAAAAAUACAUAUUAGACCAAAUCUCUGGCAGUCUUGUUGACCCUUGCUGUUUCAAACAAGAACGAUCUCACAAAUAAUACAAAUGUGAACUUGGCAAUUCAAAAGUUUCAUCUGAUGCGAAAAUCAACCUUGAGCAUCCCAAGGUUGCUUGAUUUAGCUCCAACCUGGUAAAAUGAGUAAGUAAUCCUGCAGUGACUAAAAUUCUGGUCAUUUAGAGAAAAUUUGCUUUAAGUACUGAAAAAUGAAAAAGUUGCCAUUUAAACUACACAGCUUCCCAGAAGUGGAUUCACUAGUACAGAAUUGGUCAUUUAACCAAAGCAUGCAGCUGCUGCAGAGUGCAACGAACACAUUGAAACAUCAUCAAUUUGCAUUUGUCCGGUCCUGCUUCUGAGAAGUAAGCAAGUGGGAGCAGCUGUUGCAUUUAAUCCCAGUAUUUUCAACCAAACACACCAGUCACUGAUCUAGCUGCUGCCAUAAAAGUGAUAAGAAGCAUCAGCUGAAUCAACAGUGAAUCUACAUAGUACAAUACAACAAACAAGGAAUAGCAAGGAAACAUAUGAAAGCCAUAGAACUCCUUAUCUAUUGUAUGGUUGAAGAAUGACCCAUACAAUACAAAGAAUAACAUGCAAGAAACAGAUACCAUUUUGAGGUCCUUCAACUGUUUUCACUCUGAGAUGAGGUCCUCUAAUUCAUCAAUGAUAGCUUUAUAGCAGAAAAAAUA